UACGAAGGUCCCAAGCGUUGUUCGGAAUCACUGGGCGUAAAGGGUGCGUAGGCGGCGUGGUAAGUCAGAUGUGAAAUCCCGGGGCUCAACCCCGGAACUGCCUUUGAUACUGGGUAUCUGGAGGUCGAGAGAGGCGAGUGGAAUUCCGAGUGUAGAGGUGAAAUUCGUAGAUAUUCGGAGGAACACCAGUGGCGAAGGCGGCUCGCUGGCUCGAUACUGACGCUGAGGUGCGAAAGCGUGGGGAGCAAACAGG
rnacentral:rRNA from 1 species